GUGCUCGCUUCAGCAGCACACAUACUAAAAUUGGAAUGAUAGAGAUUAGCACAGCCCCUGCACAAGGAUGACAUGCAAAUUCGUGAAGCAUUCCAUAUUUAU